rnacentral:rRNA from 1 species
AAACCAGCACCUCAAGUGGUCAGGAUGAUUAUUGGGCCUAAAGCAUCCGUAGCCUGUUCUAUAAGUUUCCGGUUAAAUCCAUUAGCUCAACUAAUGGGCUGCCGAAAAUACUGUAGAACUAGGGAGUGGGAGAGGUAGACGGUACUCGGUAGGAAGGGGUAAAAUCCUUUGAUCUAUUGAUGACCACCUGUGGCGAAGGCGGUCUACCAGAACACGUUCGACGGUGAGGGAUGAAAGCUGGGGGAGCAAACCGGAUUAGAAACCCGAGUAGUCC